UACCACCUAUAGAAUAGGUUAGUACCCUAUUUAUAUUCUAUAAAUACCCUUUUAAAAUAUUACAUUCUAUAAAUACCCUUUUUAGUUUAUAGCAAAAAAUCUAAAUUUAGUUCCAUCCUAAAAUUAAGGCUUAAUAUAUGCUACAAAAUAUUUUUCUAAUCUCAUUUUUUUUAUUUUCUCUCACCUAAUUUGCGUAUAUCUCCUCUCAUCAGCUUUUCUCUCUCUUCUUCAAUACACUUUUCCCUCUUCUCCCACAAACACACGUUCCAUACACUUCCAAAACCCUCCUCGCCAUUAUCGCCCCAAAGGCUAUUCUUCUUCGCAAGCUUCACAGUUGUAUUUUGGUAAUUUUCUCCCCGUAGGAUUCUUUGAGUUUUCUCUCUAAUGUCGGAUGCAACGCCACUCAACAGACUACCCAGAGGUUUAUCAGCAUCCAAAGUUGAUGAAAGAAGAAGUAAAAUAUACAAUGACAAGUUGAAAGAAGUCCAAGUUGAUGAAGCUUCAAAAGAAACCAAAAAUCAAGUUGGCUCAAAGAGGAAAAAACCUAUGAAAGAUUCAAGAAACCAAAAGGUAAUUGGUAUUUGUUACAUGUAUUCUGUUGUAUUCA